CGGUUUGAUUCCCGGCCCGUCAGCGCCUAUAUUAACGAUUGUCGGGCAACCGACUAUGGCGAUAAACGCUCUGUAGAAUAAGCGUUACGGACCCGGGGGCGGUACCCGGCGCCUCCACCAGUUUGCCCACCGAAGCACCGAUUGGGUGCCCAGGUGGGCCGUUAUGGGGGCGAAACAGGAUCGACGUGCGUGGUAAAGGCAGAGUUUUUGCUCGGUAUGGUACCACCGUUAUCGGGCCAUUUCAGAGAUGCCAACGACAACGUUGCAUCUGAUCUUCGUCUGGCGGCCUAAUAGCCCUAACGGGCUAUAAGCUGUUGACUUAGAACGCGGUUCGGGGGGCGCCGGGCAACAGAAUGCCCCCCACU
rnacentral:tmRNA from 1 species